UGCACGACUUUCAUCUGUUUCCUUUUUUCCAUUUUCUAUUUCCCUCUCCAUUGUCUUCACACUUACCAUUUCCUUAUGUAUCUGUAGGUCUGCCUUGGGUUUCUGAUUUUGCAGGUUUCCAUAGAAGCUCGAAGAAGAUGAAGGCGCGAGAGGCGCUGUUUGCGGUGGAUUACAUGGAAGAGUUGUAGUGGUCCGGCGACGUGGAGAAACUCGCGAUUAAGUGGUGAAAAUGUUGGGUGAAGUCGCGUUUGGUUUAUAUUGCUUGUUGGUGGAGCAAAUGCAAGUACUGGUGAAGGAACUGAGGAAGCUCAACAAACUCUCUAUAUUCUUGAUGUCUUGAAAGAAUGUCUUCCUUUUUUUGUCACGGAAAUCUAAGACCAGCAUUCUUAAUUACUUCAAAUAUCUCUUGGAUCUGCAUUUACCCCUAGUCACAAGGCACAUUACAGAUGGUUUGAGUUUUCUUUGUCACUAUCCACUGUCAGAAAACACUCCUAAUCGACCAUUGGAGAGGGUGCCUGCUUGGGGUACAUAUGUGCAGCCAGAGGUUGAUGGGAAGCAAGCUUAUGCAAUUCACUUGGAACCACCCCCUGAGCAAGCAUAAAAGUGGAAAAAUAGAAGUCCCAAAGUACCAAAAUCCCAGCGAAUAUACGAUGCUCAUGUUGAAAUUAGUGGUUCUGAACCCAAAAUAUCCUCAUUCAAUGAUUUCACAGACAAGGUUCUUCCUUACAUUAAGGAAGCUGGAUACAAUGUCAUCCAGCUGAUUGUAAUUGUUGAACAUAAGGAUUAUCUUACUGUUGGUUACAGAGUUACAAAUUAUUUUGCUAUUAGUAGCAGAUAUGGUACUCUUGAGGAUUUCAAGCGAUUAGUUGAUGAGGUCCAUGGAAACCAAUCGCCUUAUUUUAUGAGAGGGAUACUAAAGAACAUUCAAUGUGUUUAGCUGGAGGAACUUCAUGCGGAUAUUGUAGACUUGAAGAAAAUGUACAGAGAACAAGUGAACUUGCUUGUUAAUAAGGUAUUUGAAAAAGGAAGCAUAUCAAAUGAUGGAUAAAAUGAAGAAGUACCAAAUGAUGGAUAAAAUGAAGAAGUACCAAAUGAUGAAAAUAAUGAAGAAGUACAUAACUAUAAUUAUU